rnacentral:rRNA from 1 species
GACGAACGCUGGCGGCGUGCUUAACACAUGCAAGUCGAACGGAAAGGCCCUGCUUUUGUGGGGUGCUCGAGUGGCGAACGGGUGAGUAACAAGUGAGUAACCUGCCCUUGACUUUGGGAUAACUUCAGGAAACUGGGGCUAAUACCGGAUAGGAGCUCCUGCUGCAUGGUGGGGGUUGGAAAGUUUCGGCGGUUGGGGAUGGACUCGCGGCUUAUCAGCUUGUUGGUGGGGUAGUGGCUUACCAAGGCUUUGACGGGUAGCCGGCCUGAGAGGGUGACCGGCCACAUUGGGACUGAGAUACGGCCCAGACUCCUACGGGAGGCAGCAGUGGGGAAUAGUGCACAAUGGGCGGAAGCCUGAUGCAGCAACGCCGCGUGCGGGAUGACGGCCUUCGGGUUGUAAACCGCUUUCGCCUAUGACGAAGCGUGAGUGACGGUAAUGGGUAAAGAAGCACCGGCUAACUACGUG